GGCCGACUAGCUCAGUUGGUUAGAGCGUCGUGCUAAUAAUCGUAUUAACGCGAAGGUCUUGGGUUCGAUCCCCACGUUGGCCA